AAGAGACGUUGCCCUUCGGGGUAUACCUCCCACCCUUUGUUUAUUAUACCUUUGUUGCUUUGGCGGGCCCGUCCUCGGACCACCGGCUUCUGCUGGUCAGUGCCCGCCAGAGGACCUAAAACUCUGUUUGUUCAAUAUUGUCUGAGUACUAUAUAAUAGUUA
rnacentral:misc_RNA from 1 species